CGCGGCCUAUCAGCUUGUUGGUGAGGUAAUGGCUCACCAAGGCAUCGACGGGUAGCUGGUCUGAGAGGAUGAUCAGCCACACUGGAACUGAGACACGGUCCAGACUCCUACGGGAGGCAGCAGUGGGGAAUCUUGCACAAUGGGCGAAAGCCUGAUGCAGCGACGCCGCGUGGGGGAUGAAGGCCUUAGGGUCGUAAACCCCUUUCAGUAGGGAAGAAAAUGACGGUACCUACAGAAGAAGCUCCGGCCAACUACGUGCCAGCAGCCGCGGUAAGACGUAGGGGGCGAGCGUUGUCCGGAUUUAUUGGGCGUAAAGGGCUCGUAGGCGGUUACGUAAGUCGGAUGUGAAAACUCGAGGCUCAACUUCGAGACGCCAUCCGAUACUGCGUUGACUUGAGUCCGGUAGAGGAGUGUGGAAUUCCUAGUGUAGCGGUGAAAUGCGCAGAUAUUAGGAGGAACACCUAUUGCGAAGGCAGCACUCUGGGCCGGUACUGACGCUGAGGAGCGAAAGCAUGGGUAGCAAACAGGAUUAGAUACCCUGGUAGUCCAUGCCGUAAACGGUGGGCACUAGAUGUGGGGACUUUCAACGGUUUCCGUGUCGUAGCUAACGCAUUAAGUGCCCCGCCUGGGGAGUACGG
rnacentral:rRNA from 1 species